GAUACGGCGUCGAGCGGCGGACGGGUGAGUAAUGCCUAGGAAAUUGCCCUGAUGUGGGGGAUAACCAUUGGAAACGAUGGCUAAUACCGCAUAAUACCUACGGGUCAAAGAGGGGGACCUUCGGGCCUCUCGCGUCAGGAUAUGCCUAGGUGGGAUUAGCUAGUUGGUGAGGUAAUGGCUCACCAAGGCGACGAUCCCUAGCUGGUCUGAGAGGAUGAUCAGCCACACUGGAACUGAGACACGGUCCAGACUCCUACGGGAGGCAGCAGUGGGGAAUAUUGCACAAUGGGCGCAAGCCUGAUGCAGCCAUGCCGCGUGUGUGAAGAAGGCCUUCGGGUUGUAAAGCACUUUCAGUCGUGAGGAAGGUAGUGUAGUUAAUAGCUGCAUUAUUUGACGUUAGCGACAGAAGAAGCACCGGCUAACUCCGUGCCAGCAGCCGCGGUAAUACGGAGGGUGCGAGCGUUAAUCGGAAUUACUGGGCGUAAAGCGCAUGCAGGUGGUUUGUUAAGUCAGAUGUGAAAGCCCGGGGCUCAACCUCGGAAUAGCAUUUGAAACUGGCAGACUAGAGUACUGUAGAGGGGGGUAGAAUUUCAGGUGUAGCGGUGAAAUGCGUAGAGAUCUGAAGGAAUACCGGUGGCGAAGGCGGCCCCCUGGACAGAUACUGACACUCAGAUGCGAAAGCGUGGGGAGCAAACAGGAUUAGAUACCCUGGUAGUCCACGCCGUAAACGAUGUCUACUUGGAGGUUGUGGCCUUGAGCCGUGGCUUUCGGAGCUAACGCGUUAAGUAGACCGCCUGGGGAGUACGGUCGCAAGAUUAAAACUCAAAUGAAUUGACGGGGGCCCGCACAAGCGGUGGAGC
rnacentral:rRNA from 1 species